AAGCGUGGCCUAUCGAUCC
rnacentral:snRNA from 1 species